GCUGCCUUAGCUCAAUUUGGCAGAGCACUCGACUUGUAAUCGAGCGGUUGAGGGUUCAAGUCCCUCAGGCAGCA
rnacentral:tRNA from 1 species